ACUUUCUUCUCUCGGUCCGAGCCGCCGCCCUUCACGCGCUGGAGCACCGCGGCUCGAGGCCCGACCGCGUCCGCCGCUGCAACGAGCUUGCGUCGCGCUCCAUCCUCAUGGUCUGCGCCAACCCGACUGCUCUACGCGCCGACUCGGGGCCACGGCCACUGGCCAUGUGAGGCGCUGGCGCAUGGUCCCUGGGCGCCGCCGCAGCCGCAUACCCCGUGGGCGCCGGCCGCUCGCGCGUGGGCAACGGGCGCCAGACACAGGCACGCGUGCCAGGCAUCUGCGUCCUAUGGGGCGGUCCCUCUGUACAAUGGCGGCCCUGGCCGCCGGCCGCUUCGUCGAGUGCUGUGCGCAGGUGAGAUCUGCCUCCCUUCCGUAAGAUUCAGAAAUGGGACAUAUGGAGCCGUCGAACUCUUGAUUCGUCAUAUGGACCUAGGGAGCGCCGAUGCGUGUGGCUAGCUUUUCUAGCGCCAAGUGAGGGAAUGGACUAAUGUACAAAUGGUUUUGGAGGAGGGAAGUGCUGUUCUGGGUUUGCUGUUACCGACAAAGGGAAGCAACGCCUUCUAUAGGCUUUAGGUUAGGUGAUUUAAAGGGUGAAGUGGCAAUUAGAAGAGAAGAGAAGUCUCGCAGAGAAGAAAUAAUCAUGGCUAGCCAAAUAUGCUGCCACAACACUCUCAUCAAAACUGAUAGGUGGUGAAAAAGAAUUAUUUGCUUCCUUAGUUGCUGCUGCUGAUUCAUACUCUUGAUGAAACCUAUCUUUUGUUGUUUCUGGAACAUUUUGUUGUCUUUGAUCCUGCAAUGUUAUAUUGCUAGUUCUGAUACAUGGAAAAAAUUGUAUGUGAUCCAUUAUUCUGGUGUAGUGAUGCUGGGAUGCUAUUGAUAUGAGGUUAUAAUUUGGGCUGUAAUUGAUUAUUGUGACUUCUGGGCUGGAAUUGUUGUUUUGGUAAAUGGGCUGUGUGAAAGCUGAAUUUUUUCCAGUACUA